AAACAAGUACUCCUUUCAUGUCCUUCAUUGAAAAGAUUAUGAAAAUAACCUUUCCAUCUGUCUUUGACCGCGUUCUCUGUAGCAAGAACCUUUCCAUCCUUAUCCUUGAUGCACCUCACUUGGUUUAGGUCCAUUGUCUUCUUUUCCCUUGCUCUAGGUAGUUUAUAGAUAUCCAACUUUCAUUCUUUGGUAUCUAGUCGCUUAUACAUAUCGUCAUAAGCCGCUAACUUAGCUUAUCUCACAGCUUUCUUCCCCUCUUGCUUCGCUCUUCUAUACCUUUCACCAUUUUCAUCGGUCAUGUCCUUGUAUAAGGCUUUACAACAU
rnacentral:lncRNA from 1 species